rnacentral:sRNA from 1 species
CAUUAUGAAAAAUUUUUAAGACCUAGAAAAGGUUUAAAAAAUACUACCGUCAAGUUUAAGAAACAAGCAUUAUCAAGUCAGGAGAAACCCUCAGUACAUUCCUCCUUAAUUGCAUCCAGUCCUAUACAUCUUUAAACAUACAGCCUUUUUCUGUUUAUUAUUUUUAAUGAAUCUAACUAUUAAAAAUAAAACUUAAAGUAGCUUUUUAGGUAAACAAACCUCUUCUUUUGGUAAAGAAAUGAUAUAUCCGCAAGGGCCAUGGACACUAUGUUAUCUGUAUUAGGAAUUAUUAAAUUGUUAUUUAUAAUAGCAUUAUUUCUUUAUUUUAACAUUUAGUUUCUAUGCCUUUGCAUAUGUCAACCUGGGUUAUAAUGAAGAACAUUGUUGCUAAAAAUGGAUUUUCCGGAUUAUUUUCAGGCCUGAUUCCUCGCUUAAUUAAAAUUGCUCCUGCUUGUGCCAUUAUGAUCAGUACAUAUGAAUUU